rnacentral:rRNA from 1 species
GGGGACCUUCGGGCCUUGCGCUAUCAGAUGAGCCUAGGUCGGAUUAGCUAGUUGGUGAGGUAAUGGCUCCCCAAGGCUACGAUCCGUAACUGGUCUGAGAGGAUGAUCAGUCACACUGGAACUGAGACACGGUCCAGACUCCUACGGGAGGCAGCAGUGGGGAAUAUUGGACAAUGGGCGAAAGCCUGAUCCAGCCAGGCCGCGUGUGUGAAGAAGGUCUUCGGAUUGUAAAGCAAGGAAGUUGGGAGGAAGGGC